UGCUGUGCUGGUUGGUUUUUGUC
rnacentral:piRNA from 2 species